rnacentral:lncRNA from 1 species
UUUGGGAGGCUGAGGCAGGCGAAUCACCUGAGGUCAGGAGUUUGAGACCAGCCUGACCAAAAUGGUGAAACCCCAUCUCUACUAAAACUACAAAACUUAGCCGGGCGUGGUGGCGCAUGCCUGUAAUCUCAGCUACUCGGGAGGCUGAGGCAGGAGAAUCACUUGAAUCUGGGAGGCGGAGGUUGCAGUGAGCCAAGAUUGCGCCACUGUACUUCAGCCUGGGGAACAAGAGCAAAACUCUGUCCACCCACCACCCCCCCCUGCAAAAAACAAACAAACAAACAAAAAAACUGAUUAUAUCAAAUAUUAAAAUCUUUCAGAGCCUUCUAAAUGUUUUCAUGCAAAAUUCAUACAUUUACAUUUUAGCAUGACAAAUCAGACUCCUGAAGACUUUUGUCUGAAAACCUGUCUCCCAUGAGACUCCUAUAAGACUCCUCCAAGAUGGGAAACUGCCUCUCCUCCUAUCCCCGAAUCUUGUCUGAUGCACCUGCCAUGCCCAACUCCUGGGAGUUUCCAGAGUACUGGAUCCACCCUGUGGCUUCUGUGCCUUUGCAUGUGACCUUUCUGCCUCCAGUAGCCAUCCUCUCUUCCUUCCUCAGCCUGGCUAGCUCUCCAGUGUUUCAAGUCUUGGCUUGGGUACCACCUCUUCUGGGAAGACUUCAGGACUCUUCCAGUCUUUCGAGUUCUUCCUGUGUUUUUUCAUAAUACCCCCUGUUCAUUCAUUUUUUCUUUUCUCUUUUUCUUUUUUUUUUUUUUUUGAGGCAUGGUCUAGCUCUGUUGCCCAGGCUGGAGUGCAAUAGUGCCAUCUUGGCUCACUGCAAUGUCCUCCUGUUGGGCUCAAACAAACCAUCCUCCCACCCCAGCCUCCUGAGUAGCUGGGACUACAAGCACAUUCCACCACACCUGGCUUUAGUAUUUUUGGUAGAGGUGAGGUUUUGCUGUAUUGCCUAGGCUGAUCUAGAACUCCUGGGCUCAAACAAUCUUUCCAUCUUGGCCCCCCAAAGUGCUGGGAUUACAGAAGUGUGCCACUGUGCCCUGCCCAUUCCUACCUUUAUACAAGCAUAGUAUGCUGUGAUUUGGUUUUUGUUGGUCUCCCUCGCUAGACUGUAAGCUGCUUUAAGACAGGGGCUUUCUUCUCUGAAUGUGCAGCACAUACCACAAUGUCUAACCCCACCUUUUUUUUUUUUUUUUUGAGAUGCAGUCUCACUCUGUCAUCCAGGCUGGAGUGCAGUGGCAUCAUCUCGGCUCACCUGCAACCUUCACCUCCUGGGUUCAAGCAAUUCUCCUGCCUCAGCCUCCCGAGUAGCUGGAAUUACAGGCACCCGCCACCAUGCCCGGCUAAUUUUUUUUUUGUAUUUUUAGUAGAGAUGGGGGUUUCACCAUGUUGGUCAGGCUGGUCUUGAACUCCUGAUCUCAAGUGAUCUGCCUGCCUCGGCCUCUCAAAGUGCUGGGAUUACAGGCGUGAGGCACCGCACCCAGCCAGCCUACCUGUUUGUUGACUAAAGUGAAUGGAGUUAUACCUGGCACCUGCUGUUGUUACUAGGUCACUUACCUCACCUGGCCACUCUUUUUAAACAAGUGCUGGAGUGAGAGGACACUACACCUCCUGCCUUCAUUACCACUUUUGCUUAUGAAUUUUCCUACUUAGGAAUUCAUAUGCUGUCAAAUGGCUUAUAAAUCACUCAUUCCCAUACAUGUUUUAAAAAGUGGGAACUAAUAUAUAUCCAAGUUACUAAUAUGUACUUAUAUAUCUUUUAUGUAAUUCUUCCCCAAAUUUGGGGUAGCUUUUAAAAUUAAGGCAAAAUAGAAGAUUGAAACUGUAGGUAUCAUAAGGAGAUCGGAAACUAUUUAAGGAAAGACACAAGGAAGCUCAGAGGGAGGCAGGGGCACACAAAGUGGCUCUGAGUUCCUGGUAGGAAGGCCGGGAAGGGGAACAGAUAGGACUCAUUUGUCUGAUAAAAUGAACCAUAAAGUUUGAAAAUAUAAACUUUUACUUGCACUGAAUUCUGAGAAAAAUUUAUUACAGGGAUUCUUAUAUAGAAACAAUGGAUAUGUAAUAGAUAAUGCCUUCAGUUCUAAUUUUCAGAAAACAUGGAAAUGUUUUUCACAUGGCUGUCUCUUUGCUAAAAGCAAAGAACUAAAACAUUCAUCCAGAAAUACUGACUAAUGGGAUCCAGUUUGAUACAGAAGUAAAAGUUGGAUGGCUGGGAGUGGUGGCUCAUGCCUAUAAUCCUAGCACUUUGGGAGGCUGAGGUGGGUGGAUUGCCAGAGCUCAGAAGUUCGAGAUCAGUGUGGGCAUCAUGGUGAGACACCAUCCAUAUCUACAAAAAAUACAAAAAUUAGCUGGGCGCCGUGGUAUGCGCCUGUAGUCCCAGCUACUCUGGAGGCUGAGUCAGGAGAAUCGCUUGGACUCCAGGAGGCAAAUGUUGCCGUGAGCCAAGAUCACGCCACUGCACCCUAGCCUGGGCGACAAAGUGAGACUCCGUCUCAAAAAAAAAGUUGGAGAACCAAGAGAAAUGGACUGAAGAAACAGCCCUUCGGCUCUCUCGUGUUAGUUGUUAAACUGUUGACAAGAGUGUGGGCAGCAGCCUACCCAUGAGCUCACUAAAGAGGACCCAAAGGGUACACGUUAUGUUGUUGACUGGAGAUCAGAAAGCUUCAGAUGCCAGAAGAUGGCAAAGUUGAUGAUCUUCUACACAAACAAAGGAGGCCUGCUACAGUCUCACCUGGAUUGAGGACCAAAUCACUUGUCCGGAGGUUGAGGGCAGCCACGUCUGCAAACAGAAGUGGGAGUGGACAGCACACGCUUUAACACGUGAAGCUGGGUGUGGGAGAGGCCAUUUCUCACUGUUAUUUUCAUGACCUAUUCUGGAAGUGAGAUUGCAGGCCGACCAGAAAGCUAUGUGUGCCCAAAUCACUCCAGUGUUUCUCAUAUGAAAACUUGUACACCUUACUUAAUUCCCCAAAGAAUUUGGUGGGAUUUUAAUAAAAUAGUAAAACUGUAGAUAUUAAAAAAGAGGUCAUAAACUAUUUAGGGAAAGAGGACAAUUUGACCAGGAAGCUGGGGUACCGUGGUGAGCUGGCGCUUAUCUCAUAGGGUCCUUAUGAGGAUUAAAUAAGAUAAUUCAUGGAAAGCAAUUUGCCUAUUGUCCAAGACACAGAUAAAUAUUAAUCUCCUUUACUGUUUCCUUUUCUGUAGGCAAUGAGUAACCAAUGAAGCUUUUUUUUUCAGAUGGAGUUUCACUCUUUUUGCCCAGGCUGGAGUGCAAUGGCGAGAUCUCGGCUCACUGAAACCUCCGCCUCCCGGGUUCAAGUGAUUCUCCUGCCUCAGCCUCCCAAGUAGCUGGGAUUACAGUCACCUGACACCAUGCCUAGCUAAUUUUCAUAUUUUUAGUAGAGAUGGGGUUUUACCAUAUUGGCUUGGCUGGUCUUGAACUCCUGACCUCAGGUAAUCCUCCGCCUCUGCCUCCCAAAGUGCUGAGAUUACAGCUGUGAGCCACUGUGCCUGGCCCACUGAAGCUUUUUAAGAGGCAAUGAAAUGGUCAGAAUUCUGUUUAAGGAAAAUUAAUAGGUUCAGUGAUAACAGAAGCAGCAAUUUGAAGUUUAAAAACAUUUACAUUUGAGCUGGCAACAACUUUGGGUCCCAGGUUGUUUUAAGUCACUUUAAGAGGCUUAAAACAUUCAUAUGCAAAUCUCUGAACCCAAGAAAAUAACUUCCUCUUAACCCUAGGCCUGGCCGUUAGGAAAAUUUUUUUUUUGAGCCAAAAAAUCCCAUACUUUUAGGUUUACACUUAAGACAUCUUCUCAGGAUUAAUUGUAAAUUCCUUAGAAGCAAAAAUAGUCAUUUACUUUUAUUCUUAUUUCCAUAGAAACUAAUAGAACUGAACAAGAAGCAAGACUUAGGUUAAUUGUGUGCUGACUUUACUUCGAGUGGUUUUGUCUUAACAAGCUAGGCAGAAUUUGUCAGCAUUGUGUUACAUAGAAUAUGACCUGGUUAAAACAGAAAGCUAUGUUGAGAAAAAUGCCACCUCCUCUAAAGCAAUGUGAAUGGCAGUGGUUAUUCCCUCAAAUGAGUCUUUUUCGAAUAUGAGAACUUAUUCCAGUGAAGCUAUUGUUGCUGAAAACAUUUUUGGAUCUUCUUUUCUUUUGUGGAAAGAAAGAUUACAGUAAGAUGAAAAGGAUGGACUCAGGUGCCCUGGCCUCACUGGGGUUUGAUCACAUCUCUACUUAGAAGUGAUGUGGCCUUCAGCAAAGGAGUCUGGUAUCAAAGCUCACCAGAUGCCAUGGCUCAUGCCUGUAAUCCCAGCACUUUGGGAGCCAAGGCAGAUGGAUCACUUCAGGCCAGGAAUUCGAGACCAGCCUGGCUAACAUGGCGAACCCCCGUCUCCACUAAAAAUACAAAAAUUAGCCAGGUGUGGUGGCACAUGCCUGUAGUCCCAGCUAUUGGGGAGGCUGAGACAGGAGAAUCACUAGAACCCGGGAGGCAAAGGUUGCAGUGAGCCGAGAUUGCCACUGCACUCCAGCCUGGGCAACAGGGCGAGACUAUGUCCCACCAAAUUAUAACAAAACAAAAACAUCCAAUCAAAUGGGGGCUUGACUUAUUCUCAACAGGACAAAAUUCACUUAUAUUGCCAUGGGCAGGCAUCAUCUGCAUAGCAAGACAAGAAAUAUUCACAUCAUUAUAAGUUUUCUAUAAAUCAACUUGUACCUCUACAGAGUUGUAAAAUUUAAAGACAUGGGCACACAGCACACAGGGAUCAAGCAUUACAUUGAAAGGAUAGCCAGUAAUGUUUUGCCCAUUCCAAAAUCUCAAAUUUUUCCUUGCAUAGGUAUGUUGUGGAGAUUUACAAGUUAAUCUACUUUAAAAACAGCUUGAUGUGGCCAGGCAUGGUAGCUCACGCCUGUAAUCCCAGCACUUUGGGAGGCUGAGGCGGGCGGAUCACCUGAGGUCAGGAGUUCGAGACCAGCCUGGCCAGCAUGGUGAAACCCUGUCUCUACUAAAAAAAAAAAAAAAAAAAAAAAAAAAAAAAAAUUAGCCAGAUGUGGUGGCAGGUGCCUGUAAUCCCAGCUACUCGGGAAGCUGAGGCAGGAGAAUUGCUUGAACCCGGAAGGUGGAGGUUGCAAUGAGCCAAGAUUGUGACAUUGCGCUCCAGGCUGGGCAACAGAGCAAGACUCUGUCUCAAAAACAAAAACAAAAAGAGCUUCAUGCAUAGUAAACUUGGUAAAUUAAAUAUUCUCAUUGCCUGCAGAAUCUCCUAUAUAUACGGCCAGGUGUAAGCCACCAAGCCUGGGCCGGUACAUCUCUUUGAAUAUACCCAGUAGUUGUUUCUUAGCCAUGGAAUGAAUAUCCGAUUUUUCGGAAAUAGCCAAGCUAUUUGAAACCAAAUCUGUUAAAUAAGUACAGAAUACUGAUUUUGUUUUUUUAAAAAACAAAGGUUUUUUGGACAAUAUAAUGAGAGGGCUUUCAUAGCUAGUUGAUUAGAUACAUUUGAAAAAUCAGUUCUUACAGAAUUCUAAAUGGGAUAUUUGGCUUCCCAAGAUAAAUUAAAGAACACUAUAUGAAGAAUUGACAUAUGAUGUGUUUGCUUAAAAAUGCACUCUGCAGCUGGGCAUGGUGGCUCACACCUGUAAUCCCAGCACUUUGGGAGGCCGAGGCAGGCAGAUCAUUUGAGGUCAGGAGUUCAAAACCAGGCUGGCCAACAUGGUGAAACCCUAUCUCUACUAAAAAUACAAAAAUUAGCUGGGUGUCAUGGUGUGCACCUGUAAUCCCAGCUACUUGGGAGGCUGAGGCAGGAGAAUCGCUUGAACCCAGGAGGCGGAGGUUGCAGUGAGCUGAGAUUGUACCACUGUACUCCAGCCAGGGCGACAUGUCAAAAAAACAAAACAAAACCAAAGCACUCUGCAAGCUUCCUGGCUAACUCUUGUACAUUGCAGCAGGGGAAGUUUGAUGCCUCUGAGGGCGAUGCCAAAGCCAGGCGGGCUGCUGGGGUGUGAGCAUGGAGUAAAUGCAGCAAGGUCACAGAUGACGGAUGAUGACUGCGGUGGGAAAACCCACAUAGCGGCCUGCAAGCACGUCUCAGGAAGAGCUGUCUUGCUAGGGGCAAACUUACGGUAAAGGAUGACGCCAUCAUUUGAUAAAAUGUUCUGUCAUGCUUUUAGUGGCGAGUUUUUAACAAUAAAGCAAAACACUCACCAUGAACCAAAUGUUAAAAUCAAUGUCAACCAAGUCACAUCAUUUCCUGUUCCACUUGGUUUUGAAAUUCAACUUCUCCUUUAUUUAAAAAUGACAUCAAAACCAGUCUUCUCUUGAAGAGGUAAUUUAGGAAAUGGAGCAAUUUACUGUGGUUUUAGAGGAUGUAAAGUGCUCCGUGCAGUUGGACAUGUACAGGGCAGCAGCUGGAGGCAUGAGGACGUAGAGCCGUCAUUCAAUGUGGUCCCCGGGCCAGCAGCAACUGCACAACAUGGGAGCUCCUUAGAAAGGCAGGAUCCUGGACCUCACCCUGUUUCAGAACCUACAUCUUUUUUUUUUUUAAUUUGCAAAAAUUUAUUCAUAUACAAAUGUGCAAUAUCAAUAAAAUGACCAAACAGGUUUGUUCUUGAAACAUUUUCAAUUGAAUGGGAAUUAAAUGCUUUUGAAAAGUGACAAAAUGAUCAUACAGUGAAGUUGUCUCUUUCUUUAUAUAACAAGCAUAAAUCAAGUACUAACUCUUGAUUUUACUCUGAAUUAACCAUGACAUACUAAAUGAACUUGGGCUUCAGGCAGAACCUACAUCUUAAGGCGAGCUCCAGGCGAUGGGUAUGCACAUUAAGGCUUAGGAAGCACACUGUUCUAGGUUAACAGCUCAGGUCUCUGGGCUUAGCACUACAGGGAGAACGUGACUAGGAAGUGCAGACUUGGGUUCUGAUCUCAGGCUUACCACUAAAUAUCUGCUGUUUCCCACAGCCCUGCCCGCUUCUCAGGACUGUGGGGGACCAAAUGGGAUCCUUAUUAACAAGGUCCUGUAAGAUCUGGGUCCAGCCUGCCUCAGACCUUAUCAUGUAAUACUUUCUAUUUUGAGUUGGGCUUUCUAACCAGGCUGACCUCAAGUAGAGUUUGUUUCUGCCUCAGGGCCUUUGCACAGGCUGUUUUCUCUGCCUGGAACACCCUCCCUUUUGACCUCUGCACUGCAGCUGCCUCCUGUUAAUCAGAUCUCAGCCUAAAUGUUGUCUCUCCAGUGAGACCCUCCAGGGACUGCACGAGUAUCAAAUACCUUUGUCAAGAAAUAAAACCUCCCCAGGCCGUGCGCAGUGGCUCACGCCUAUAAUUCCAGCACUUUGGGAGGCCGAGUCACCAUGCCUGGCUGUUUAUGCCUAGUUUUAAAUUAGCUGGACAGCUCCAGAUGCAACCAGAGGUGCAA